GGGCCUGUGGCGCAGCUGGUAGCGCACCUCGUUCGCAACGAGGGGGUCAGGGGUUCGAGUCCCCUCAGGUCCACCG
rnacentral:tRNA from 7 species